UACGUAGGGUGCGAGCGUUAAUCGGAAUUACUGGGCGUAAAGCGUGCGCAGGCGGUUCGUUAAGUCAGCUGUGAAAGCCCCGGGCUCAACCUGGGAAUGGCGGUUGAAACUGGGGAACUAGAAUCUGGAGAGGGGGGUGGAAUUCCACGUGUAGCAGUGAAAUGCGUAGAGAUGGGGAGGAACACCAGUGGCGAAGGCGGCUUUCUGGUCUGUAACUGACGCUGAGGCGCGAAAGCGUGGGGAGCAAACAGG
rnacentral:rRNA from 1 species